UACGUAGGGUGCGAGCGUUAAUCGGAAUUACUGGGCGUAAAGCGUGCGCAGGCGGUUCGUUGUGUCGGCGGUGAAAGCCCCGGGCUCAACCUGGGAAUGGCCGUUGAAACUGGCGAACUGGAGUGUGGCAGAGGGGGGGGUGGAAUUCCGCGUGUAGCAGUGAAAUGCGUAGAGAUGCGGAGGAACACCGAUGGCGAAGGCAGCCCCCUGGGCUAACACUGACGCUCAGGCACGAAAGCGUGGGGAGCAAACAGG
rnacentral:rRNA from 1 species